rnacentral:rRNA from 1 species
AUCAAUAAGCGGAGGAAAAGAAACCAACAGGGAUUGCCCUAGUAACGGCGAGUGAAGCGGCAACAGCUCAAAUUUGAAAUCUGGCUCUUUUAGAGUCCGAGUUGUAAUUUGCAGAGGGCGCUUUGGCGUUGGCAGCGGUCCAAGUUCUUUGGAACAGGACGUCACAGAGGGUGAGAAUCCCGUACGUGGUCGCUAGCCUUCGCCGUGUAAAGCCCCUUCGACGAGUCGAGUUGUUUGGGAAUGCAGCUCUAAAUGGGAGGUAAAUUUCUUCUAAAGCUAAAUACUGGCCAGAGACCGAUAGCGCACAAGUAGAGUGAUCGAAAGAUGAAAAGCACUUUGGAAAGAGAGUCAAAUAGCACGUGAAAUUGUUGAAAGGGAAGCGCUUGCAGCCAGACUUGCCUGUAGUUGCUUAUCCGGACUUUUGUCCGGUGCACUCUUCUGCGGGCAGGCCAGCAUCAGUUUAGGCGGUUGGAUAAAGGUCUCUAUCACGUACCUCCCUUCGGGGUUGGCCUUAUAGGGGAGACGACAUGCAACCAGCCUGAACUGAGGUCCGCGCAUCUGCUAGGAUGCUGGCGUAAUGGCUGUAAGCGGCCCGUCUUGAAACACGGACCAAGGAGUCUAACAUCUAUGCGAGUGUUUGGGUGUCAAGCCCAGACGCGUAAUGAAAGUGAACGGAGGUGGGAACCUUUUAGGUGCACCAUCGACCGAUCCUGAUGUCUUCGGAUGGAUUUGAGUAAGAGCAUGGCUGUUGGGACCCGAAAGAUGGUGAACUAUGCUUGAAUAGGGUGAAGCCAGAGGAAACUCUGGUGGAGGCUCGCAGCGGUUCUGACGUGCAAAUCGAUCGUCAAAUUUGGGCAUAGGG